UAUGAAAAUCAAUAUAUGUAUCAAUAUGUUCACAGCCAUAAUAAUGAUCAAAAGUUAGUACGCUUGAGCUCAUUUGCUACUAAAGAAGUAAGAAAAAAGAGGAUGGCUAGGCAAAGAAGGUUUUCAUCACGCCAUAGAAAUCAUAAUCAUCAUAAUAAUCAACAAAGCCAAUACCAAAAUCAAAGCCUUAACUAACUCGCAAAGCUUGUGAAUGAUAAUUGUGUGCUAACAGCCCAAGCUAACCUUAAAAACUAGCCUAUUGGACUUUGGUUAAUGACGGUGUAGCUCUAAGACCUCUGGUUCUACCUUUUGAGGUUGCUUUGGUACAUUCUAUGGAUUGACUUGCCAUGUAAGGACAAAGUUAUCAGCGAAAAAUGGCAUUGGAUAGAAGACAGACAGGAACCUAAGAAGAAUUUGUGGUUUCUUUUGCAAAAAGUGUUGAAGUAGAGCGAUGUAGGCAAUCUCGAAAGAAUCAUUCUUUCAAAGGUUGACUGAUAGGAUUGAUAAAUUUGUCGAAUGAGUAGCAAGUAAUUCCAGCAAUUGAAAUAGAGGUGAGAUUUUUUUUGUAUUUUUUAAGUGAAAUUGUUCAAUUUAUAUGGUAUAAACUUCCAUUAUGUGGAUAUUAAAUAAUGUAUAAAUUAUUAGUAGAUGUUUAUGGGAAACAAGGCAUAUAUUAUUAUAUAAGUUUUUCAAGUCUGGCUUAGAAAUAUUUUCAUACUUUAGCAUUAUUCAAUUAUUAUUAUUUGUAGUAAAUUGAAGCUACACAAUAAGCCAUAAUGAGAGUGUAUGUUGCAUUUCACAUUUCACUUAUUAGAAAAAAAUGGGGAAAUGUUGUAUUUUAAACUUACAAUAAUUAGCUUUUGCUUGUGUAUUGUUAGAUUUGAGGGUCAAAUUGACUUGAUACCUUGAUGUCUUCUAUACUUUGGCUUGGAAAACAAUUUUUUUUUUGUGUAUCUUGAAAUUUUGAAUUCCAUAAGUUACCCCAAAAAAGGUAUAAAAAAAAUUAUUAUACGUCAUUUAUUUCUUAUAAGUUUAUCAAGGAGUUUGUUAUAAUUGUUUUUGUUGUUUGUACACAUCUCAUUGUUUCAAGAUGGUAAAAAGUGAUUGGAGGCUGAUAGUAUUGCUUUAUAAUAUCCUUGCUUCGAAGUUCUAUAUGAGUAUUAUGAAGAUGUUGCAAGUGGAAGUAAGAUUUGUAAUGUUGGUUUAGCUAGGCGUCGAUUUCAUGUAUGUUUGUAACACUAUAUUCUUGCUUUUUUCAAUUUUGCUCAUGAUAAAUUCUCAUUUCAUGAAAUAGCUUGGUUUAAUUGAUUAAUUUGUAAUUGGGAAUGGUAAAAAAAUUUUUGAAAAUGUUUCUUAGAUCGAUCAAUGUGUAUGCAUCCCGUAAAAACAUUCAAUUGAAAGUUAAAAAGGAAUAUAAUAACUACAAAGUAAGCAUCACUUCUUUAUAACUCUUUUUUUGAAAUACUUUUCUAUUCUUUGGUUGUUUCUAUUGGCAUCCGAACAUACCUUUCAUAUAUAUAUAUAUAUAUAUAUAUACACACACAUUGCCAAGUGGUUUAGUUUAGUCCUAUGAAAUAAAAAUGUGAGGUGUGGUAUUACUUUCUUUUUCUCAAUAACUUUUUGAUAAUUAUAAGCUUUUGUUUAGUUAUCUUUUCUCAAUUGGAUGGACAUUUCUUAAUAACAUAUGAAGUUUUCAACUUUGGUGUAAUCAUGCUUGAGAUUAUUAGAGGAAAAAGAACUUGAGAUUUUAUUAGGUGGAACAUUGCCCAAGCCUAAUUGGUUAUGUAAGUAAGGAUGAAUAAUUUUAUUCUUUGUUUUUUUAUCAACUUUUCUUUUCCAUACUAACUGUUGGCCAAUACUUAAGAGGUAAGAGGUUCGUAGGAAUGGCAAACAAUUUUAUAAACUUAACUUGCUUGUGGAUUAAGGUGUAUUUCAUUUUUUUUUUUUUGUAAUUAUUUAUAAAUGGUUUGUCUAGUAUAUUUGGUUAGAAUGUAAUUGAAAAUUUCCCAAACAGUUUUAUUUUGACAAGUUUGAUUGCUACAAUAGCUAUACCUUAUUUAGGACUUAAUAUUAACAAAGUUUGAAUAAGAAAGCUAAGAUUAUGUUGGUGGAUGUUUUAUUUUGAUAGGUUUGAUAACUACAACAUCUAUACCUUAUUUAGGACUUAAUAUUAACAAAGUUUGGAUGAGAAAGCUGAAAUUAUGUUGAUGGAUCAAACAUAUGCAUCACCAUCCUUAUAUUGUUAUUGCAUUGAAGUUCUAAUUAUAGAUGGAUCCAAAAGUAUAUUGAAAUUAAUAGUUAUUGGAAUCUUUUAUUUAAUUUUUCAAAUAAACAACUGCUGGUCAUUCAAAUUAUAUUCUAAAUGUUAGUCUUUACUUGAUUUUACAUAUAAGCUAUGCUAAAACUUAGGUUGCUUCAUAAGCUAUGUUGAAACUUAGAUUAUUCUCAUAAGCUAUAUGCUGAAACUUGAACCUAGGCAAUAUCUAAUUAUGGUUGUUUAGACAAUUAGGAAAAGUUUCACUAUCAAAUCAAGUGAAAGAAUUUUUAUUGUAUAAAAACUUUUAUUUGUUCUAAAUUAUUUAAUCUAAAAUAUUGUUCUUUGGUUUCUAUAAAGUUCUCUUUUAGUUCCUAGGAAAUUUUUACUAUUUGUAAGGUAAAAUAAAAGUUGGAACUAUUUUUGUAUUUUUUUUCAUUUUUGAAAAGUUGAAACUAUCAUAAAAUUGGUUCCUAGGAAAUCUUUACUAUUUAAAGAAUAAUAUAAAUGUUGAAAUUAUCCAUCACAUGUGAAAGAAAAAAGUUGUUUUAGUUUCUUUAAAUCUUUCAUAUGAGAGUAUAUAGGUGGUUUCUUUAUCUAUACCAGUAGAUGCAUUUUGAAAUACUAUUGUAGCUCGUAAAUUAGGUCCUAAAUGCAGAUGAAACUUCAAUGUUUCAUUUUUGGCAAUAUAAUUUUUUUGUUUUUUUUUUUUUCAUGAAACUUACUAUAAGUAAAUAUUUGUUAGCCUUGGUGAGGUUCAACAUGUAACAAUUUAGAUUUCCUUCUAUAAAACUUCUAAAAUGCUCCAAUAUUUGUUGCUCCAUGCCUAAAUUAAAUCUAAAUAGUUUAUUGCUUAUAUCAAUUUGGAUGUAUAGCUCAUCUUAGACAUAAUU